GCUAGGAUGAACGCUGGCGGCGUGCCUAAUACAUGCAAGUCGAACGAGGUAGCAAUACCGAGUGGCGAACGGGUGAGUAACACGUAGGUAACCUGCCCUUAAGCUUGGGAUACCCAGAGGAAACUUGGCUAAUACCGGAUAACAACAGAGAAGGCAUCUUCUUUGCUUGAAAGGCCCCUUCAAGGGUCACUUAAGGAUGGACCUGCGGCGCAUUAGCUAGUUGGUGAGAUAACAGCCCACCAAGGCGAGGAUGCGUAGCCGAACUGAGAGGUUGAUCGGCCACAUUGGAACUGAGACACGGUCCAAACUCCUACGGGAGGCAGCAGUAAGGAGUUUUCGGCAAUGGGGGAAACCCUGACCGAGCAACGCCGCGUGAGCGAUGACGGUCCUUUGGAUUUGUAAAGCUCUGUUGUAAGCCAUGAAUGACAGCUUGAGGAAAUGCAAGUUGUUUGACGACAGCUUACCAGAAAGCCACGGCUAACUACGUGCCAGCCGCAGC
rnacentral:rRNA from 1 species